rnacentral:rRNA from 1 species
UACGGAGGGUGCGAGCGUUGUCCGGAAUCACUGGGCGUAAAGGGUGCGUAGGUGGUUGGGUAAGUCUGAUGUGAAAUCUCUGAGCUCAACUCAGAAACUGCAUUGGAUACUAUCUGGCUAGAGGAGUGGAGGGGGGACUGGAAUACUUGGUGUAGCAGUGAAAUGCGUAGAUAUCAAGUGGAACACUAGUGGCGAAGGCGAGUCCCUGGACACUUCCUGACACUGAGGCACGAAAGCUAGGGGAGCAAACAGG